UAUAGAUUCCUUUUUGUAAAGAAUAUUAUAUAGAAUAUUUCUAGGUUGAUAUAUUAUUGUAAUAUUAGACUUCCUUAUAGAAUAAGGAAGGUUGUUGGAAAUAUCUCUAUAAAUAUUCUAGGUCAUGAGGGGAAAAAGUUAUGAGAUGGAGAUGGACCUGUAGAGACUAUAUGAGGUGGAUAGAGAUGUGAAGAAGAACGGGAGGUACUCGGUGGAGCGAGAGGACUCGUAGUAAGGUAUGGAUACAACGAGUGGGGAUACAUGGGAUGUUUCGGGAACCCAAUAAUUGUAUCCGGUUUUGUCCUCUAUAAUAUUCUCUAUUGUAUAAUGGAAUCAUUAUCUCUCAUCCGUGGACAUAGGCAUGGUUGGCCGAACCACGUUAAAACCUCGUGUACCGUAUGUGUGAUUGUUUUAUCUUUGUGUUCUCGAACUAACAUUGUUGGCAUCAGAGCUUUUGUUAGCACUACAACUAGUAUCAGAGCUUGGGUUGAAGAUUUCUGGAAGAGUAAAAGAUCACAAAACAUAUAAGAUGAAAACAAAAAGAAUUUUCAUUGAAGGUGGAGUCGAUUGCUCUUUCAUGGCGAUAUGAUACAAAAAGGUUUGUGUCAUGGAGAGAUUGAAGAUUAACUUCAUGGAAUUUGGUAAAAGGUGGAGAUUGUUAGGAAGUGUCCCAAAUUCCUAAUUAGUAUAGAUUCAUUUUUGCAAAGAAUAUUAUAUAGAAUAUUUUUAGGUUGAUAUAUUAUUGUAAUUUUAGACUUCCUUAUAGAAUAAGGAAGAUUGUUGGAAAUAUCUCUAUAAAUAUUCUAGGUCAUGAGGGGAAUAAGUUAUGAGAUGGAGAUGGACCUAUAGAGACUAUACGAGGUGGAUAGAGAUGUGAGGAAGAACGGGAG
rnacentral:lncRNA from 1 species